rnacentral:rRNA from 1 species
AGCAGCCGCGGUAAUUCCAGCUCCAAUAGCGUAUAUUAAAGUUGUUGCAGUUAAAAAGCUCGUAGUUGAAUUUCGGGGUCAGCAGGUUGGUCGUGCCUCUGGUAUGCACUGGCCUUGCUGAUUCCUCCCUCUUGAUGAGCCGUAAUGCCAUUAAUUUGGUGUUGCGGGGAAUCAGGACUGUUACUUUGAAAAAAUUAGAGUGUUUAAAGCAGGCAAGCGCUUGAAUACAUUAGCAUGGAAUAAUGAAAUAGGACGUUCGAUCCUAUUUUGUUGGUUUCUAGGAUUGACGUAAUGAUUAAUAGGGAUAGUUGGGGGCAUUAGUAUUCAAUUGUCAGAGGUGAAAUUCUUGGAUUUAUUGAAGACUAACUACUGCGAAAGCAAUUUGCCAAGGAUGUUUUCAUUAAUCAAGAACGAAAGUUAGGGGAUCGAAGACGAUCAGAUACCGUCGUAGUCUUAACCAUAAACUAUGCCGACUAGGAUCGGAUGAUGUUAAUUUUUUAAUGACUCAUUAC